rnacentral:lncRNA from 1 species
GGAGGAUGGCUCCGGGCGGGAGCUGGCGGGAGCUCGGGGGUAAACAAAGCGGUGUCGUCUCUUCUCCGCAGCCAUUGCGAAAGGCCUUUUCUGUGGCUCUCAGAAAUCCACUGCUACUGCUUGAACGAGGACGCGGCACACGGAAAAAAGAGACCGGAAAUACCUCGAAAUGUACGUUACUUCGUUUGACGCGAAAGAAUUUACCCUGGGAGCAUACGAAGCACCAAUAUGGGUCCCGGUCUCCGGCGGUCGGAUGUUGAUGUGAGUCCCCCCAACGUCAGCACGGUGAUGUGCGACGCGAGUGAGCCUUUCUACUUUUUGGCGGAGACCCUUUUUCGCCAGCAAGUGACUCGGUGUCUCCGUGAAGCAUCGAAGUGUAGCUACAGCCCUCUUCGGCGAGCUGAACGGGCUGCCGAGCUUUCGAAGGCCGAUCUCCCGCAGCGCUGACACCCGGAGAACCGCGCCAUGGCGCUCGCUAAGAAUCCACCGGCUGCCGGGCUCGGAGGACAUGUUGCAGGCCCCGUGUAAUGCCCUCGGCGCCUGUGCGACUUCCAGGGGGUCUGCGUUUCACGGCCCCGUUACCAGCUGGGAAGUUCUCCAUAGAGGGGACGACAUCCUGUCCAGCACCAGCUUCACCGUCUGGGACCAAGUGCAUGAGGGGGUCGCACUGCAAGCACAUGAAAGGAGGGCACUGCGACUUUGAGGUCAAGCUUGUACAUCUACCAUUACAGAGUCCUAAAUGGAUGCCAAUUGCUACUGAUGACCUUAUGAAGGUGAAACGUCCCUGGAUCUAAAGGGAAAAUCUGAUUGAAG